UGCUACAUUCCAUGUUAGAGACAUGAGGACAUAGAGAUAGGCCAUUGAGAUACUUGAUAUAUUCCAUGUUGUUAGACAUAAGGACUUGGUACUUGAGACAGAUCAUUGCUUGCUUGCCAGUGUGCUCAUUCGCACAUGCUUGUGAGGGUCGCUCCCUACAAGCCGGCACUCCGGAGAUAGCCAUCACGACAUAUGCUCGCCCGUGCGGGAUUGGACGCCGAAGUGGAUUGCCGUGGGGGAGGCUCAUCCCUAGAGUGGGGAUGUUGACUACCACGGGGCCAUUAGGCACGGCGCAGGCCAGACAGCCUUCGGGUGGGUCUUAUAUGAUUGGGACUUGGUGACAGAACAUGCUAUGUGAACCUUAUAACUGUUAAAGUGGACUUGGACUAGAAUAGUAAACAAUGACAUCUU
rnacentral:lncRNA from 1 species